AGACCCGAAACCCGGUGAUCUAGCCAUGGGCAGGUUGAAGGUUGGGUAACACUAACUGGAGGACCGAACCGACUAAUGUUGAAAAAUUAGCGGAUGACCUGUGGCUGGGGGUGAAAGGCCAAUCAAACCGGGAGAUAGCUGGUUCUCCCCGAAAGCUAUUUAGGUAGCGCCUCGUGAAUUCAUCUCCGGGGGUAGAGCACUGUUUCGGCUAGGGGGCCAUCCCGGCUUACCAACCCGAUGCAAACUGCGAAUACCGGAGAAUGUUAUCACGGGAGACACACGGCGGGUGCUAACGUCCGUCGUGAAGAGGGAAACAACCCAGACCGCCAGCUAAGGUCCCAAAGUCAUGGUUAAGUGGGAAACGAUGUGGGAAGGCCCAGACAGCCAGGAUGUUGGCUUAGAAGCAGCCAUCAUUUAAAGAAAGCGUAAUAGCUCACUGGUCGAGUCGGCCUGCGCGGAAGAUGUAACGGGGCUAAACCAUGCACCGAAGCUGCGGCAGCGACGCUUAUGCGUUGUUGGGUAGGGGAGCGUUCUGUAAGCCUGCGAAGGUGGCCUGUGAGGGUUGCUGGAGGUAUCAGAAGUGCGAAUGCUGACAUAAGUAACGAUAAAGCGGGUGAAAAGCCCGCUCGCCGGAAGACCAAGGGUUCCUGUCCAACGUUAAUCGGGGCAGGGUGAGUCGACCCCUAAGGCGAGGCCGAAAGGCGUAGUCGAUGGGAAACGGGUUAAUAUUCCCGUACUUGGUGUUACUGCGAAGGGGGGACGGAGAAGGCUAUGUUGGCCGGGCGACGGUUGUCCCGGUUUAAGCGUGUAGGUGUGUGUUCCAGGUAAAUCCGGUUCACUUUAACACUGAGGCGUGACGACGAGGCACUACGGUGCUGAAGCAACAAAUGCCCUGCUUCCAGGAAAAGCCUCUAAGCAUCAGGUAACAUCAAAUCGUACCCCAAACCGACACAGGUGGUCAGGUAGAGAAUACCAAGGCGCUUGAGAGAACUCGGGUGAAGGAACUAGGCAAAAUGGUGCCGUAACUUCGGGAGAAGGCACGCUGACACGUAGGUGAAGUGAUUUACUCACGGAGCUGAAGUCAGUCGAAGAUACCAGCUGGCUGCAACUGUUUAUUAAAAACACAGCACUGUGCAAACACGAAAGUGGACGUAUACGGUGUGACGCCUGCCCGGUGCCGGAAGGUUAAUUGAUGGGGUCAGCGCAAGCGAAGCUCCUGAUCGAAGCCCCGGUAAACGGCGGCCGUAACUAUAACGGUCCUAAGGUAGCGAAAUUCCUUGUCGGGUAAGUUCCGACCUGCACGAAUGGCGUAAUGAUGGCCAGGCUGUCUCCACCCGAGACUCAGUGAAAUUGAACUCGCUGUGAAGAUGCAGUGUACCCGCGGCAAGACGGAAAGACCCCGUGAACCUUUACUAUAGCUUGACACUGAACAUUGAGCCUUGAUGUGUAGGAUAGGUGGGAGGCUUUGAAGUGUGGACGCCAGUCUGCAUGGAGCCGACCUUGAAAUACCACCCUUUAAUGUUUGAUGUUCUAAC
rnacentral:rRNA from 1 species